GGCCCCGUCGUCCAGUGGUCAGGACGCCGGAUUUUCAUUCCGGAAACACGGGUUCGAUCCCCGUCGGGGCUA
rnacentral:tRNA from 1 species